CGGAGGAUCCAAGCGUUAUCCGGAUUUAUUGGGUUUAAAGGGUGCGUAGGGGGCUUUUUAAGUCAGGGGUGAAAGACGGUAGCUUAACUAUCGCAGUGCCUUUGAUACUGAAGAGCUUGAAUGAACUAGAGGUAGGCGGAAUGUGACAAGUAGCGGUGAAAUGCAUAGAUAUGUCACAGAACACCAAUUGCGAAGGCAGCUUACUAUGGUUAGAUUGACACUGAGGCACGAAAGCGUGGGGAUCAAACAGG
rnacentral:rRNA from 1 species